GAAAAAAGUUUUAUGUUUCUAUGUUAAUUAUCCCACAGAUUUCUUAAAUUAUAGCAUUCACAGACACAGAACUAAUCAUAUUUUAUAUUCUCUUUGAAGCUACACUUAUCCCUACACUAAUCUUUAUUAUCUGCUGAAGUAACCAACCAGAACACCUCAAUGCAAGCUCGUAUUUCCUAUUUUAUACACUAGUAGGGUCUCUCCCCUUAUUAUACUUAUUUAUACCCAAAAUACCUUAGGUUCACUAAAUAUAAUAAUGACAUUCAGUACCCAGGAACUACUAGUCUCCUGAUCCAACAAUCUCAUAUGAUUAGCAUGUAUCAUAGCUUUUAUAGUAAAAAUACCCCUAUAUGGACUUCACCUAUGACUCCCUGAGGCUUAUGUAGAAGAAACCCCCAUUGCUGGCUCAAUAGUACUUGCAGCAGUGCUCCUAAAAUUAGGUGGUCAUGGUAUAAUACAGCUCACCCUCACC
rnacentral:lncRNA from 1 species